rnacentral:rRNA from 1 species
AUUGAACGCUGGCGGCAUGCCUAACACAUGCAAGUCGAGCGAGCGGCGGACGGGUGAGUAAUGUCUGGGACACUGCCUGAUGGAGGGGGAUAACGACUGGAAACGGUAGCUAAUACCGCAUACCAUCAGAUGUGCCCAGAUGGGAUUAGCUUGUAGGUGGGGUAAUGGCUCACCUCGGCGACGAUCCCUAGCUGGUCUGGGAGGAUGACCAGCCACACGGGAACUGAGACACGGUCCAGACUCCUACGGGAGGCAGCAGUGGGGAAUAUUGCACAAUGGGCGCAAGCCUGAUGCAGCCAUGCCGCGUGUAUGAAUAAGGCCUUCGGGUUGUAAAGUACUUUCAGCGAGGAGGCGUUACUCGCAGAAGAAGCACCGGCUAACUCCGUGCCAGCAGCCGCGGUAAUAC